GAUCCUGGCUCAGGAUGAACGCUAGCUACAGGCUUAACACAUGCAAGUCGAGGGGAAACGACAUCGAAAGCUUGCUUUUGAUGGGUGUCGACCGGCGCACGGGUGAGUAACGCGUAUCCAACCUGCCCACCACUUGGGGAUAACCUUGCGAAAGUAAGACUAAUACCCAAUGACGUCUCUAGAAGACAUCUGAAAGAGAUUAAAGAUUUAUCGGUGAUGGAUGGGGAUGCGUCUGAUUAG
rnacentral:rRNA from 1 species